rnacentral:ncRNA from 2 species
CUCUUAUCCUGAGUAGGCGGAGGGACAGGCCCGAAGAAGCCCAGCAACCAACACUCGUAGCCAUGAGUGAAAAGGUGCUAACCUGCAAGACUGUUUUGUCUUGAACGAUAAGAG